AGUUGGAUGAUUAAUGAGAUAAUGAAUGUGAGGAGAACUCCCUGGAGGAAAGACAUUUCACAAACAUGAAGUGAAGACUCUGGCUGACUCACUGAUUUCAGCAGCUCAGAGCACUUCGGAGGAGUGGUUGAAGAAAUUCUAGCACACCUACACAAUGGAGUACUAUGCUCCUGUAAAACAGAAUGAGGAAGAUCUCCAUGAGCUGAUACGGAAUGAUUUCCAGGACAUACUACUCCGUGAGACGGAAAAGCACAAAAGGGAAUAAUGUUGAAAACAUGAGACAAAUUCAUAUUGAGGAACAUUCUAAAACAUAACUGACCAGUACUCUGUCAAGAACAUUAAAGACAAGAAAAACAUGAGGGGCUGCCACAGAUUACGUGGAGAAGAAUGAGGAAGCAGUGUGGGAUCCUUGAUUCGAUCCUGGAGCAGGAAUUGAUGGAAUUGGAAUAAGGUCUGUAUUUGUUAGA